UAGUAUACAGUGAUAAUCGUUCAACGGUCAAGUCUCAUCGCCAGCUUAGCCAACUGUCAGAUAGUAUCUACCUAGGGCUAGGCAGUAUGUCGGGGAAGGAGAGAACCAUGUCUGUGGCAACAGAAAAACCCAUGUUUUUGUACAAGGCAGGGCGCAUAGGCCAUAAGGACAAAGAACAAAUGGUGAUCUGCAAGCUAGUUUCACGUGGCGUUGGGGAGUGUACAGAGGUUCAUAUAUUCAACGAUGGAUCCGAAGAACCAAAGUCAAUGAUCAAAGUACAGUCCUUCGCAACC